rnacentral:rRNA from 1 species
AAACUAGGAUUAGAUACCCUAUUAUUUAAGAGCUAACAUUGUAAGUAAAUAAUAAUUAUGAAAGCAAAAAAUUAUGGCGGUAUUUUAAGCUUUCAGAGGAAUUUGCACUUAAUGGAUAAAACACCAAAUCUUACUAGAUUGUGAUUUCAAUUUGUAUACCACUAUUAAAACAAUUUAUAACUUUAAUUGUUUAAAUUUACAAAACUAAAAUAUAUUAAGUCAAGGUGCAGUAAAAAUUUAGGAUGAAGUGAAUUACAUUACUUUUUAGUGAGAUAAGUUUAUAACAAUAUUUAGGAUUUGAAAGUAAAAUUAAAAUAGGAUGUUAAUUUUAAUUAGACUCUAAAAUAUGUACACAUCGCCCGUCGCUCUCAUU